AAGACUUUAAGUUAAAAAUAAAACUAGUAACCUUCAAAGUUGAAUAUAUCUAUGACGAUAAGUCUUA
rnacentral:tRNA from 1 species